AGGUGACUUUAAAAAGGAGCUGUAAACUCUUUAAUUUAUCAUCAA
rnacentral:tRNA from 1 species